rnacentral:rRNA from 1 species
AGUGAACGCUGGCGGUAGGCCUAACACAUGCAAGUCGAACGGCAGCACAGUAAGAGCUUGCUCUUACGGGUGGCGAGUGGCGGACGGGUGAGGAAUACAUCGGAAUCUACUUUUUCGUGGGGGAUAACGUAGGGAAACUUACGCUAAUACCGCAUACGACCUACGGGUGAAAGCAGGGGAUCUUCGGACCUUGCGCGUUUGAAUGAGCCGAUGUCGGAUUAGCUAGUUGGCGGGGUAAAGGCCCACCAAGGCGACGAUCCGUAGCUGGUCUGAGAGGAUGAUCAGCCACACUGGAGCUGAGACACGGUCCAGACUCCUGAGGGAGGCAGCAGUGGGGAAUAUGGGACAAUGGGCGCAAGCCUGAUCCAGCCAUACCGCGUGGGUGAAGGAGGCCUUCGGGUUGUAAAGCCCGUUUGUUGGGAAAGAAAAGCAGCAGGUUAAUACCCCGCUGUUCUGACGGUACCCAAAGAAUAAGCACCGGCUAACUUCGUG